GUUUGAUNAUGGCNCAGAGUGAACGCUGGCGGCGUGCCUAAUACAUGCAAGUCGAACGAUGAAGCUCUAGCUUGCUAGAGUGGAUUAGUGGCGCACGGGUGAGUAAUGCAUAGAUAACAUGCCCUUUAGUCUAGGAUAGCCAUUGGAAACGAUGAUUAAUACUGGAUACUCCUUACGAGGGAAAGUUUUUCGCUAAAGGAUUGGUCUAUGUCCUAUCAGCUUGUUGGUGAGGUAAUGGCUCACCAAGGCUAUGACGGGUAUCCGGCCUGAGAGGGUGAACGGACACACUGGAACUGAGACACGGUCCAGACUCCUACGGGAGGCAGCAGUAGGGAAUAUUGCUCAAUGGGGGAAACCCUGAAGCAGCAACGCCGCGUGGAGGAUGAAGGUUUUCGGAUUGUAAACUCCUUUUGUUAGAGAAGAUAAUGACGGUAUCUAACGAAUAAGCACCGGCUAACUCCGUGCCAGCAGCCGCGGUAAUACGGAGGGUGCAAGCGUUACUCGGAAUCACUGGGCGUAAAGAGCGCGUAGGCGGGAUAGCAAGUCAGAUGUGAAAUCCUAUGGCUUAACCAUAGAACUGCAUUUGAAACUGUUAUUCUAGAGUAUGGGAGAGGUAGGUGGAAUUCUUGGUGUAGGGGUAAAAUCCGUAGAGAUCAAGAGGAAUACUCAUUGCGAAGGCGACCUGCUAGAACAUAACUGACGCUGAUGCGCGAAAGCGUGGGGAGCAAACAGGAUUAGAUACCCUGGUAGUCCACGCCCUAAACGAUGAAUGCUAGUUGUUGUGGAGCUUGUCUCUGCAGUAAUGCAGCUAACGCAUUAAGCAUUCCGCCUGGGGAGUACGGUCGCAAGAUUAAAACUCAAAGGAAUAGACGGGGACCCGCACAAGCGGUGGAGCAUGUGGUUUAAUUCGAAGCUACACGAAGAACCUUACCUAGGCUUGACAUUGAUAGAAUCCGCUAGAGAUAGUGGAGUGCUAGCUUGCUAGAACUUGAAAACAGGUGCUGCACGGCUGUCGUCAGCUCGUGUCGUGAGAUGUUGGGUUAAGUCCCGCAACGAGCGCAACCCUCGUCCUUAGUUGCUAACUAUUCGGUAGAGCACUCUAAGGAGACUGCCUUCGCAAGGAGGAGGAAGGUGAGGAUGACGUCAAGUCAUCAUGGCCCUUACGCCUAGGGCUACACACGUGCUACAAUGGGAAGCACAAAGAGAUGCAAUAUUGUGAAAUGGAGCAAAUCUAUAAAACUUCUCUCAGUUCGGAUUGUAGUCUGCAACUCGACUACAUGAAGCUGGAAUCGCUAGUAAUCGUAAAUCAGCUAUGUUACGGUGAAUACGUUCCCGGGUCUUGUACUCACCGCCCGUCACACCAUGGGAGUUGUAUUCGCCUUAAGUCGGAAUGCCAAACUGGCUACCGCCCACGGCGGAUGCAGCGACUGGGGUGAAGUCGUAACAAGGUAACCGU
rnacentral:rRNA from 1 species